CCAACUCAUCAACUGGGCCCACACAGAUAUCCGACAGGUGACCUUUUGACGUCAAGAGGCUAAAAACUCCACCCUCAGAUCAUGUAUACACUGCCAUUUUGUGAACAUGGGUCCUAUGAAGAGGCGUGGAGUCUGACUACACUUGUGCACAUCAUCAAUUACCUCACCUCUCCUCACCUCCAGUCACCCAUCUCCACAUCUCAGACCACCUUGCCCCCAUCCCAUAAAUAUCCCCGAGUCCUUAUUUUUGGGGAAGUGAAUUUGAGACUCAUGCUCUCGCUUCCUCACAUGGAUGCCUUGUGUUUAAACCCUCUCUCUGCUGCAAUCUCAUCAUCUUGGUGUUUGGCUUUCCGGGUGAUGGGCAAAAACGAACUUGGUGCAGUAACACAGUGAUGAUAUGAUAACAGAAGGAAGAAGUUUGUGCAAACCAGGUUGAUGACACAGCAGGACAGACCAAGUAUCUAUUUCUCUUUUGUAAGCAUGCAUGCAUCCAAGUCUGUCUGCUUGAGAACUUUCUGGGUAAGACAGACAAGUAGCUUCUUCCACUGGCUGUGGUCAAACUAGCAUAAUUAAUUAAUCAUGGAGUUGCAUAUCCACAUUGUCCCGCCUUCACUGCAAGUCAACAUCCCUGCACCAACAAAACUAUGGAUUGAGAAGCUUAUAACCUGGAGCCUGGAUGGCUCACCCAAGAGAUUUUGGUAGAAGUAGUCAAGGCCAUAGCACCGAGAGCAGGAUGGAAGGAGGCCUUUGGGAUGCUUUUGCUGAUGCCAAACAUGGAAUGGAGUCAGUCAGUUUGAAGUUCAAGAGAGGCACGAUUCACCGGAUAGCUGACCUACAAAUUAAGCAGACCAUUUCAGCACCACCUAAUUACGGCCACUGACAGAUGAGUGAUGUAGGCCCACUCCCAGGAACCAAACCCAGGCAGCCGAAGUGGAGCACACCAAACUUAACCACUAGGCCACCAGGGCUGGCCUUAUAUAUAUUGUCUUAACCCUCUCAACAACCCUGCAAGAAAGUAUUAUUAGUCUCAUUUUAAAGCUCACCUACAAAGAAAGAUGAAAGAGGAGACAAGCCUGGUGAUUUGAGUCUCUCCAGCCACUCCAAUCCCUUCCUUUUGCCAUGGAGGAGAGCUUGGGUCUAUAGAGGGAG
rnacentral:lncRNA from 1 species